UUAAAUUGAAGAGUUUGAUCAUGGCUCAGAUUGAACGCUGGCGGCAGGCCUAACACAUGCAAGUCGAACGGUAACAGAAAGCAGCUUGCUGCUUUGCUGACGAGUGGCGGACGGGUGAGUAAUGUCUGGGAAACUGCCUGAUGGAGGGGGAUAACUACUGGAAACGGUAGCUAAUACCGCAUAACGUCGCAAGACCAAAGAGGGGGACCUUCGGGCCUCUUGCCAUCGGAUGUGCCCAGAUGGGAUUAGCUAGUAGGUGGGGUAACGGCUCACCUAGGCGACGAUCCCUAGCUGGUCUGAGAGGAUGAC
rnacentral:rRNA from 1 species